rnacentral:rRNA from 1 species
ACGAGUUUGAUCCUGGCUCAGAACGAACGCUGGCGGCAUGCCUAACACAUGCAAGUCGAACGAGACCUUCGGGUCUAGUGGCGCACGGGUGCGUAACACGUGGGAAUUUGCCUCGGGGUAUGGAAUAACUCAGGGAAACUUGAGCUAAUACCAUAUAAUGUCUUCGGACCAAAGAUUUAUCGCCCUGAGAUAAGCCCGCGUAGGAUUAGCUAGUUGGUGAGGUAAAGGCUCACCAAGGCGACGAUCCUUAGCUGGUCUGAGAGGAUGAUCAGCCACACUGGAACUGAGACACGGUCCAGACUCCUACGGGAGGCAGCAGUGGGGAAUUUUGGACAAUGGGCGCAAGCCUGAUCCAGCAAUGCCGCGUGCAGGAUGAAGGCCUUCGGGUUGUAAACUGCUUUUGUACGGAACGAAACGGUGAGCUCUAAUACAGUUUGCUAAUGACGGUACCGUAAGAAUAAGCACCGGCUAACUACGUG